ensembl:lncRNA
AUUGAGAAACCUGCCCAUGACACCAAGUGUCCAAAAAUACAACUGGAGCUCACCAGAAAACACAGCUGGGAGAAAGACUUGUCAGCUGUGAACUCUUCACCUUCGCUGUUAGUCAUCGCCGACUCUCUCUGGCUAUUUCCAUAUUCAUCGACUUCAUUUGUAUGGUUCAUCUCACCAAAUUUCCACAGCAAACAAAACAGCGUUUGAAAGAGUCCUCUGAAUGUCUGGUAGCAUCUAGAGCUCCUGCUCGGCAUGAAAUAUUGAGAAGUGAACCUCGUUCCUCUUGCAUCUCAGCGGCUGUCUGAAGUACAAACAUUCAAAACACCUUCAGCAUUUCUGCAUGAUGGGUUUAUGAUCACACUAACAAGCAUGAAUGCUGUUGCAAACGAUAGUCAUCUUAAUUAUGCCGCCCGCUAAGAUACCUUCUUUUGUCCAAAUUCUAAGACAGCUUUACAUGAAUCUGUCAAGUGUUUUGGCAGAGCCGUGCUCGUGUCUGUGAGAGCCGGUGUCGGUGGAGGAAGUGCAGGUGACCCGCCGCGAUGCCAAGCUGCUCUGAGCAGGUGCUUUGCUUUUCCUCCUCCGUAACGGUCAUCUGGGCCUGCGGAGAGGCCUGGAUCCACACCAACACUGCACAAGAAACACCGCGUUCACUCUCCCUCACAUCCGACUGAAGCACGGCUCACAUUUCUACAGGAUAAUCACCGCUGUAAUGUAGACCGAGGUCAUUUGCAUCAUAGGAGGACGGCCGUGGCCUGAUUGCAGAUGCCAUCUCAUUCAGGUGAACAUGAUGAGAUUUGUAAACGUGUUCGAGCAUACAGUACGUGACCCCGGAUGUCCUUACAGUCGAGUCGUGUGUGUGUUUGCUCUGCAGCGACGGUAGAACCUCAUCCAGCACCGGCUCUCAAUAAUGCAUGAUUAAUUAGCAGACUCUGAAACAGGGCGAAACUAAAAGAGAGACUGGAAACGAGAGAAGCAAGGCAUCCCGAAGGGGAAAAUGCGUACGCUAAUACUGCAGCAUCAGCUUUGUCUGGUAAAUCGUGACUCUGUCUAAGCAGCGACCAGCACAAAGAAGAAAAUGAUAACUCUAUAUGCGAGCUGAAAGGCUUGCUGUGACACUCACACUGAAUCAUAGAAGCCACCUCAGAGUUUC